CCUACGGGGGGCUGUAGUGGGGAAUAUUGGACAAUGGGGGGAACCCUGAUCCAGCCAUGCCGCGUGUGUGAAGAAGGCCCUCGGGUUGUAAAGCACUUUCAGUGAGGAAGAACGCCUGGUGGUUAAUACCCAUCAGGAAAGACAUCACUCACAGAAGAAGCACUGGCUAACUCCGUGCCAGCAGCCGCGGUAAUACGGAGGGUGCGAGCGUUAAUCGGAAUUACUGGGCGUAAAGCGCGCGUAGGUGGCUUGAUAAGCCGGUUGUGAAAGCCCCGGGCUCAACCUGGGAACGGCAUCCGGAACUGUCAAGCUAGAGUGCAGGAGAGGAAGGUAGAAUUCCCGGUGUAGCGGUGAAAUGCGUAGAGAUCGGGAGGAAUACCAGUGGCGAAGGCGGCCUUCUGGACUGACACUGACACUGAGGUGCGAAAGCGUGGGUAGCAAACAGGAUUAGAUACCCUGGUAGUC
rnacentral:rRNA from 1 species